UACGAAGGGGGCAAGCGUUGUUCGGAAUUACUGGGCGUAAAGCGCGCGUAGGCGGCUUUGUAAGUUAGAGGUGAAAGCCCGGGGCUCAACCCCGGAAUUGCCUUUAAGACUGCAUCGCUUGAAUCCGGGAGAGGUGAGUGGAAUUCCGAGUGUAGAGGUGAAAUUCGUAGAUAUUCGGAAGAACACCAGUGGCGAAGGCGGCUCACUGGACCGGCAUUGACGCUGAGGUGCGAAAGCGUGGGGAGCAAACAGG
rnacentral:rRNA from 1 species